rnacentral:rRNA from 1 species
GACGAACGCUGGCGGCGUGCUUAACACAUGCAAGUCGAACGGAAAGACCCUGCUUUCGGUGUACUCGCGUGACCAACGGGUGAGUAACACAUGGGUGGUCUGCCCUGCACUUCGGGUUAAACCAGGUCAACUGAGUCUAAUACCUAAUGGGAGACAUUUUUAGUGUGAUGGUUGGAUAGUUUUUUCGGUUUAGGAUGAGCUGGCGGCGUAUCAGCUUGUUGGUGGGGUAAUGGGCUACCGAGACGGCGGCGGGAGGCCGGACUGAGUGGGUGGACGGCCAUACUGGGACCGAGAGGCGGCACAGACACCGACUGUAGGCAGCAGGGCGGAAGCUUGCACAAGCGGCGCAAGCUGGGUGCAGAGACGCUGCGUGGCGGAUGACGCUCUUCGGGUUGUAAACCACUUGCGCUAGUGACGAAGCUCUUUGUGACGGUACCUAGAUAAGAAGCACCGGCUAACUACGUG